AUUGAACGCUGGCGGCAUGCUUUACACAUGCAAGUCGAACGGCAGCGCGGGCUUCGGCCUGGCGGCGAGUGGCGAACGGGUGAGUAAUGCAUCGGAACGUGCCCAGUAGUGGGGGAUAGCCCGGCGAAAGCCGGAUUAAUACCGCAUACGACCUGAGGGUGAAAGCGGGGGACCGAAAGGCCUCGCGCUAUUUGAGCGGCCGAUGUCGGAUUAGCUAGUUGGUUGGGUAAAGGCUUACCAAGGCGACGAUCCGUAGCUGGUCUGAGAGGACGACCAGCCACACUGGGACUGAGACACGGCCCAGACUCCUACGGGAGGCAGCAGUGGGGAAUUUUGGACAAUGGGGGCAACCCUGAUCCAGCCAUGCCGCGUGCGGGAAGAAGGCCUUCGGGUUGUAAAACGCUUUUGUUCGGGAAGAAAUCCUCUGGGCUAAUACCCCGGGGGGAUGACGGUACCGGAAGAAUAAGCACCGGCUAACUACGUG
rnacentral:rRNA from 1 species